rnacentral:rRNA from 1 species
GGGUGUGAGAGCACGAACCCCCCACAAUGGGACUGAGACACGGCCCAUACUUCUACGGGAGGCAGCAGCAGGGAAUAUUGCACAAUGGACGCAAGUCUGAUGCAGCGACGCCGCGUGGAUGAUGAAGGCCCUCGGGUCGUAAAAUCCUUUUCAGGGGGACGAGGAAGGACGGUACCCCUGGAAUAAGCGUCGGCUAACUACGUGCCAGCAGCCGCGGUAAGACGUAGGACGCAAGCGUUAUCCGGAUUUACUGGGCGUAAAGCGUCUGUAGGCGGUUCGAUAAGUUGGGCGUGAAAGCUCCGGGCUUAACCCGGAGAGGUCGUUCAAUACUGUCGAACUAGAGGACAUCAGAGGAGCAUGGAAUUUCCGGUGUAGCGGUAAAAUGCGCAGAUAUCGGAAGGAACACCAGUGGCGAAGGCGGUGCUCUGGGGUGGGCCUGACGCUGAGAGACGAAAGCUAGGGGAGCGAACAGGAUUAGAGACCCUGGUAGUCCUAGCCCUAAACGAUGGAUGCUAGGUGUGGGGCCGAGAAGGCUCUGUGCCGCAGUUAACGCGCUAAGCAUCCCGCCUGGGGAUUACGGCCGCAAGGCUAAAACUCAAACGAAUUGACGGGGCCCCGCACAAGCAGCGGAGCGUGUGGUUUAAUUCGAUGCUACACGAAGAACCUUACCUGGGUUUGACAUGUACGUGGUAGAGAAGCGAAAGCGGAUCGACCCUUCGGGGAGCGUACACAGGUGCUGCAUGGCUGUCGUCAGCUCGUGCCGUGAGGUGUCGGGUUAAGUCCCGUAACGAGCGCAACCCUUGCCCUUAGUUACAAGUGUCUAAGGGGACUGCCGGCGGUAAGCCGGAGGAAGGUGGGGAUGACGUCAAGUCAGCAUGGCCCUUAUAUCCAGGGCUACACACACGCUACAAUGGUCAGUACAAAGGGCAGCGAAGCCGCGAGGUGAAGCGAAUCCCAACAAAGCUGAUCUAAGUUCGGAUUGCAGGCUGCAACUCGCCUGCAUGAAGCUGGAGUUGCUAGUAACCGCGCGUCAGCUAUAGUGCGGUGAAUACGUUCCCGGGGCUUGUACACACCGCCCGUCACGUCA